GGGGGUGACUUGGUCUCGACUUGUGUUGUUCGGGUAUGGGUUGCGUGCCGGGGAAGUCUGGUAGGCCUCGACAAAAAUCCAGGCACAAUUAAACGCAAACGACUACAACGUCGUCGCAGAAGCCGAGGGCAUUUUGGCCCAGGCUGAUGCUGCUGUCUUAGUCUAAAACGACUAAGCCCUUUUGUCGGCCCCGCCCGCGGGUCGGCAAAAGGUCACUGGCGGGCUGGUCCUGUGGUUUUGCCUUCAGCCGCGGGAUGAGAUCUUGAGGGCUGGUCCCAAAAUGAGCCUGUUUGCCGG
rnacentral:tmRNA from 1 species